GGCUCCGGUGGCUUAAUGGUUAGAGCGUUCGCCUCGGAUGCGGGAGUAACGGGUUCAAAUUCCGGUCGAGUCA